CACUGCCCUCCCUGCAGACACGCAGGCUCACACACAGAGCACGGGGAAGUACACAUUUACUGUAUUGCAUGCCGACUGCCUUCAAGAAACUGUAGCUAACCACCUUAUUAGUAUUCUUGCCUCCACCGAGUCUCACUUGCAGCAUCAGAGGGCUGAGCAAAUGCAGUAGAACAGGGACAGACACAGCUCUGGCAAUCAUCUCAAUGCAGGCUGCCGAAUGUUGGGGGUGGGGGAUGCAGCACAUCAAGAUUAAUAACCUUGCCAUAAUCCGGGGCACCCUGCAAGCAGACACCUCUGCUGAUUGACCUGCUCCUGGCUUGAUGCAUCUUCCUGGGGGAGAGGGAUCCAGAAUCUACCUAGUCCUAGGGGGCCCCUCCUGAUUUUGGAUGUUCAUUUGAUCCUUCACAGAUCUGGGAAGGUAACAGUGAGCCGUACCAUCUGCAGCACACAGCAGCUCUUGGAGGUUACUACUGACAGUUUUCAUUACACUGGUUUGUGUGAGUGCGUGUGUUUGUGUGUGUGUUUGUGAGUGUGGGUGCCUGCCUUCGCGUGCAAAAAUAUGUGUUAGUGUCCGUGUGUGUGUGUAUGUUUGUGUGACAACCAAAGCAGGUAUAUCGUACAGUAGGCGAUUUCAACAGCGUGACUAUUCUCUGGGCACUUGGGCUCACAGUCUGUAGACCCCCCGCCUUUCACCACCCCCUCCCUUCCCCGCUCCCCCCUUCUCCUUUUGCCUUUGAUGAGUUUUUGGCUUACUUUUUGGCGGAGUCUCUUGGACACGUUUUUGCUGGUGCUGGAAGAUCAGAUAAAUGGAACCUUUGAAAACUGAUUAUUUUUCUCCUAUGUGACUUUAAAAAAAAAGAAAAGAAAAAGAAGAAAAGAAAAUAGAGUAGUGCACGUCAACCCAGAAGGAUUUUAAAUUUUCCUUGGUGAACUUUGAGGAUCCACAGAGAAGAAACCAAAUGAAGUGUUUACUGUCAUUAUCCAUAUUUGAUGAAGAGGAUACUGAGGCUCACGGAGAAUUAAUAAUUUGUCCAAGAUCGUCUAAUGUCGAGUAAUCAAGAGCGAAUGCCAUGAAAGUACACACACCAGCCUGGACCAGCAUUUUUUGAGGGGAAAACCUACAGAGACAGAGUAAUAGCAGAAAUGGUUCUCUUUAUUGCAAGGCUACAAAAUCGCCCAGUGAGAGUGGGGCCAAAUAAGCUGAAACAUCAUCCAAUACACUGACUGAGGCUCUUGAAAGGAUAAACUGAACUUGAGAUCCUGCCAGGCCCUAAGCAGCUGAAGGCGCUUGUACAGAUGGUCCCUCACUUAUGAUGGAGUUACUGGAAGAGCAGGGAUAACCUAUGUAGAUUAACAAUAUGGAAACAUCCUGAACUACUUUAGAAUCCCAAUAAAUUAACUGGAUUCAAGUUUUGCAGUGAAACCGUUCCAUGGACCAUUUGCUACAGGGAGAAGCUGGGACCUGGGAGUUUCCUCUGAGUCCCAUUGCUCUAAGAUUGGAGGAAGAACUACGGGCCACAGAUUUGGUACAUCACAGGGCAUUGCUCCCAUAAAUUAUCACAGGUAAGUAUAUAGCUCUUUAGUAUUUUUACAUAUUUACACACAUUAUUUCAUUUAACCCUUAAAACAACCCAAUGGAAUAAGAAUGUAUGUCUAUUUUACAAGUAAUGAAAGAAAGAUUGAGGUGUUUUGGGUCUUUUAAGUCAAAGAGUAUGGAUUCAAUGCUAGGUAUUUUGACCUUUCAUCUAAUGACAGUUUUCACCAACAUUCUGCAGCCACUUCCAAUAUUGUACAGUGUUAAUGGUGACUUCUGGAUUUAUUAUAAGAAUUUUAUCAAUUGUAGGCAAACAUAUUAGUCUGUGUCUGGAUAACUUUGUUGACAAAGUUCUUAAUAAACCAAAUCAAGAGCUUCAUUGGCACUCUGGCCAAUUAGAUAGACUAUACCCCAAGGUUUCAGGCCAAAUCUUUUAAUAUACUAAACUGUGUCCCAGGUGUGCAGCACUUAUCCAAAGGAGCAUGGUAAAAUAAGGGGGCUGAUAAAAUCCCCCAUCACGACUAAAAGCAAUGUAUUGUUUGGAGGAGGAAGUCCAUUUUGGUGGUAUGAUAUGACAUCCCUAUCAAACUGGAUGUCCAAAAGGGCUGCUUGAAUCAUUCCCAUCAUUGCAGUCUAUUUCUCCUCUGGUCAUUAACAUUUAAACAUAUGCAAUCUCAUCCUUCCAAUUGUUCCACUUAAAAACAAAGACAGAAUCUUUGAUUUCUCCUUUUCUGAAUCAUUAAACACUCUUCAUUCUGCAAAUAGAAUAUUGUUCUGCACUAGAAAAUAUCUCCACUCUCACUGCUCUAGCUCUCAUCACACCAUUAUUUCUCACCUGGACAUCCAGGUCAUUUUUUAUAAGAUAGCCAAAAGUAUCUGAAGGAAUUGCUCACCUCUCAAAAUUAAGCUCAUAGCAUUUGCUGUUUUACUCACUAAUUCAUUCUGGUCUCUGGUUAUUUUUAAACUUGCCAAAUUUGACUCUUUGUCUUCUAUAUGGCUGGGAUUCUUAUGCCCAUUACUUUGCAUAACUCGCUCUUUUGCCUCCCUCGGGAAUUGGUACAAAUACAUCUUUUCACAAGAGAUUUUUCUUGCCCACUCUAGUGUAAGCUUCCUGCAAAUGUUUACCAUAUUGGAAGACAAUGUCCCAUUCAUAUAUGCUUACUUACUUAUUUUGUCUUUCUUCUACUGUACUGUACACUUCAUGAGACUAUUGACCAUGCCCUUUUAUUGUCCAUGUGCCUAGCUCAUUGUUAUGUCAUAUAAACUCAAUAAGUAUUUGAUGAGUGAGUGGACAAAUGAAUUACAUGCAUAUAAUGAAUAUGUGAAUAAGAAUACAUAACAACUAUCCAUAGCAUUAUAAUAUUGAAAAAAUAGCUGAUUGCUAUAAAUCCAGGCUCCAAGCUGACUCUCCUUUAUUACUUGCUAUUCAUUAAGAAUUAUUAAAUGACUUAUCAUCUUUACUAUUACAUUAUAAUGCCUCAUGUCUCAUGGACCCUUCUUUUGAAAUUAAAUUUUAUCUGAAGUGCAAGCUAUGCAGAUAUUAUUGUCAAUUUUUCCUGUCUCAGUUGCUGUUUAUCAGAGCUCCCAUGAUUAGUUUUGGACAUUGAUUCCCCCAUCAGCUCCAUAGUGAAACAAAGUUUCAUUAUUCUCCAAAUGGGGGAAAACUAUUUCUUCAACACUCCACAGAUUGUCACAGAUUUUGUUAAUGCCUGUUGUCUUAUUUCUAUUUCUUCUGUUUGUGCAUUUAGAUGAGCAUAUAAAUUUGUCUUGAGUAUUUUUAUUUUUAAAUAGUAAGUUAGACCGAAAGCAAUGAAUAUUAUAAAAAUACUAAAAUACAUAUGCCUAGGUUAAGUGGAUCCAUCAAUAUAUACUGGAUGAACAAGAAAAUUGGGCAAUAAUAAAGGAAAGUAUCUAGUGCUACUACAAAAUGCAAACAUAAGUUGUUCUAUUGCAUGUCCCUUUAUUGUGCUUUGCAGAUAAUGUGCUUUUUGGAAGUUGAAGGUUUUUUGCAACUCUGUGUCGAGGAAGUCUGUUGUUAGUGCCAUUUUCAACAGCAUUUGCUUACUUCAUGUCUGUGUGUUACAUUCUGGCAUUUUAAACAAUACUUAAAGCUUUUUCAUUAUUAUUAUAUUUGUUAAUGGUGAUCUGUGUUCGGUGAUCUAUGAUAUUACUAUUGUAAUUGUUUGGGGUGCCACAAACCACACCCAUAUGAGUUGGCAAACUUAAUUGAAAAAUGUUGCGUGUGUUCUGAUUGCUCCCCUGACCAGUUGUUCUCCCUUAUAUCUAUGUCUUUGGGCCUCCCUAUUCCCUGAGACACAAUAGUACUGAAAUUAGUCCAAUGAAUAAACCUGCAAUGGCAUCUAAGUGUUCAAGUGAAAGAGUCAUACAUAUCUCACUUUAAAUCAAAAGCUAGAAAUAAUCAAGCUUACUCUGGAAGGCAUUUCAAAAGCCCAGUUAGGUCAACAGCUAGGCUUCUUACACCAAACAUAUAGCUAAGCUGUGAGUCUAAAAGAAAAGUUAUUGAAGGAAAUUAAAAGUUAUUGAAGGAACUGAUAAGAAAGCCAAGCAGCUUUAUUGCUGAUAUGUAGAAAGUUUUAGUGGUCUAGAUAGAAGAUCAAACUAGCCAAAACAGUCUCUUAAGCCAAGACUUAAUCCAGAGAAAGAUCCUAACUUUUUUCAAUUCUAUGAAGGCUUAGAGAUAUAAGAAAGCUGCAGAAGAAAAGUUUGAAGCUAGCAGAUUCG